rfam:Ictidomys tridecemlineatus contig072992, whole genome shotgun sequence.
GGAUAUAGCUCAGUUGGUAGAGUGCUUGCCUUGCAUGCACAAGGCCCUGGGUUCAAUCCCCAGAACCA